rnacentral:rRNA from 1 species
AGUAAUGAUUGAUAGGGGCGGUUGGGGGCGUCAGUAUUCUGAAGCGAGAGGUGAAAUUCUUGGACCUUCGGAAGACUAACAACUGCGAAAGCAUUCGCCUAGGAUGUUCUCUUUAAUCAAGAACGAAAGUUGGGGGAUCGAAGACGAUCAGAUACCGUCGUAGUCUCAACUAUAAACUAUGCCAGCUAGGGAUUGGUGGAUGUUUAAUUACGACUCCAUCAGCACCUUAUGAGAAAUCAAAGCAUCUGGGUUCCGGGGGGAGUAUGGUCGCAAGGCUGAAACUUAAAGGAAUUGACGGGAGGGCACCACCAGGUGUGGAGCCUGUGGCUUAAUUUGACUCAACACGGGAAAACUUACCAGGUCCGGACAUAGUAAGGAUUGACAGAUUGAUAGCUCUUUC